UCUGUUUGAUUUUCUGUUUUCUGC
rnacentral:siRNA from 1 species